GGGGGGUAUGUGAUCCUGGUGGACACCGCGGGCUUCAAACCCGAUCGUCCGGGCGGAUGACCGUCCGGAGGGAGGUUCGAUUCCUCCACCCUCUCGCCA
rnacentral:tRNA from 1 species